GUUUACCGUGAAAAAAUUAGAGUGUUCAAAGCAGGCAGAUCCAAUUUUCUGCCACCGAAUACAUUAGCAUGGGAUAAUGGAAUAGGACCCUGUCCUCCUAUUUUCAGUUGGUUUUGGCAGCGCGAGGACUAGGGUAAUGAUUAAUAGGGAUAGUUGGGGGCAUUAAUAUUUAAUUGUCAGAGGUGAAAUUCUUGGAUUUAUGAAAGAUUAACUUCUGCGAAAGCAUCUGCCAAGGAUGUUUUCAUUAAUCAAGAACGAAAGUUAGGGGAUCGAAGACGAUCAGAUACCGUCGUAGUCUUAACCAUAAACGAUGCCGACCAGCGAUUAGGAGACGUUGAAUACAAAACACCACCAUCGGUGCGUGCCACCGAAUACAUUAGCAUGGGAUAAUGGAAUAGGACCCUCUCCUCCUAUUUUCAGUUGGGUUUUGGCAGCGCGAGGACUAGGGUAAUGAUUAAUAGGAGAUAGNUUGGGGGCAUAUAAUAUUUAAUUGUCANGAGGUGAAAUUCUUGGAUUUAUGAAAGAUUAACUUCUGCGAAAGCAUCUGCCAAGGAUGUUUUCAUUAAUCAAGAACGAAAGUUAGGGGAUCGAAGACGAUCAGAUACCGUCGUAGUCUUAACCAUAAACGAUGCCGACCAGCGAUUAGGAGACGUUGAAUACAAAACACCACCAUCGGUGCGGUCGUCCUUGGCGUCUCGGUCCUUCACGGGGCCGGGGCGCGGGGGCGGCUUAGCCCGGUGGCACCGGUGAAUGACUCCCUAGCA
rnacentral:rRNA from 1 species